rnacentral:rRNA from 1 species
CCUACGGGAGGCAGCAGUGAGGAAUAUUGGACAAUGGACGAGAGUCUGAACCAGCCAAGUAGCGUGAAGGAUGACUGCCCUAUGGGUUGUAAACUUCUUUUAUAUGGGAAUAAAAUGUUCCACGUGUGGGAUUUUGUAUGUACCAUAUGAAUAAGGAUCGGCUAACUCCGAGCCAGCAGCCGCGGUAAUACGGAGGAUCCGAGCGUUAUCCGGAUUUAUUGGGUUUAAAGGGAGCGUAGGUGGAUUGUUAAGUCAGUGGUGAAAGUCUGCGGCUCAACCGUCAAAUUGCAGUUGUAACUGGCAGUCUAGAGUACAGUAGAGGUGAGCGGAAUUCGUGGUGUAGCGGUGAAAUGCUUAGAUAUCACGAAGAACUCCGGUUGCGAAGGCAGUUCACUGGACUGCAACUGACACUGAGGCUCGAAAGUGUGGGUAUCAAACAGGAUUAGAUACCCGAGUAGUC